rnacentral:lncRNA from 10 species
AGAUGUUCAUGAUUGCUCUACUGUCCCCACUUCCUCCCCAGUUUAAGAGCAUACAGCAUCAUAUGAAAACAGCUCAGGAGCAUGACAAGCCGGACCCCGCGGUGCUCUAUUACUGUUGUUUCUAUGCAAUGCAAACCAGAAUGAAGACUGAUAGUAAAACUCCUGAGAGUUGUACAUUUUUAUCAAAGCUAAUGGAUCAGUUAGAAAUACUUAUGAAACAGUUGGGUGAUCAUGAAGCUAUUAGGCAAGAAAAUACUUAGUCCUGCCCAUUUGGAGAACUAUGCUUAGAAAAUGUUUUUAUACUCAGACAAUGAUCAUGCUGGGUGAUUUCACAAGAUGAUCAAGCCCUUUUUAUACUCCACAGUUUUAAAUAGAUGCCAUAAUAAUAUUAGGACAACUCACUGAUGAAAAUGUGAAACACAGAAAGUAUGUAAGAUGAAAAGCAAAAUAUAUUCAUAUUUGUUUAAAGAAUGGGGAGCUGCCUCAACUAGUAUCUGCUGGAAUUGAAGAAGAUAACAAUAUAACAAUAUUGCAGAAAAUGAAAAUGCUGAAGCAACCUAUCUGUCCACUGAGCCAUGUCAGCCACCAUCUUCAACUUAUGACCCAAGCCACAUGCCAUAAAGGAGCUAUAAUAGAAUACAGAUUCCUCCCAGUGCACACACUCCAGCUAAUACAUCAGUAGAAGUGCAUCACAAUGCAGAUGUAACAAAUCUAAUCUACUCCAAAGACAAUUCAGCAAUUGAGCCCACAUUUUUAGUAGUUUCUUAAAGUGAUAUCCAUCUAACACUAGAGGACUUUGUUAGUGAUCAGAAAUACAGCAAAUAAUAGGCUGGCAGUGCCUUGUCAUAUGAAGAUGUCAUUUAUCCUGUGAAUUAAAACUUCUGGAGAUAGAUAAUUAAAUGUAAAAAUAG